rnacentral:lncRNA from 1 species
CGCUCGCAAGAUCUUGAAGUUAAGAGUGACUGACCAGAAUCAGAAUGGCGACCUGGCAAAUCUUAUUGAAAGAAUGGGACCAUGAAGUCCUCAUUGAAACUUUCGAAGUAAAUGGAAUUGAUGAUGAUAGUUUCUGGCUGUUGGAGAGCGAGGAAAUUAAAGAGCUUAUUCCAAAGAUGGGACCUAGGCUAAAAUUCAUCAAAAAAUUCUCUGUACAGUAACUGCUGCCAAAAAUAAUCAACAUGUCAUCUUUCAUCUGCUGCAAAUGUCUUUCUAAAAUUCCUGGAGGAAUUUCUGGGCUAUUUUGCCACCUGAAAGUAGUCCAUGGUAUACUAAAAUCUACUUGCACAAAACUUGUUUGUGUAGAAUGUAAGGAAAUUUUGCGCCGUGGAUCAUCAUACAAAAAGCACCUCAUACAUGUCAUAGGGCAUUUGCAACCCCCUACAGUUCACGCUGAUGACCAGUGCCAAGCUAAUAGAGUUCCUCAUAUUGACAUAUCUGACUUAUCUAAUGUAAGCAGUCAUGGGGAAUCAAGUGAUGAUGACUGUAAUCGUGUUGAAAUGAAUGUAGAUGCUGAUAUCGUUAAUGACACUGAAUAUGAUUCUCAAGAAAGCCUAUCAGACCUUGUAGCUGCUUUUUAGCUCAUUUACAAAGCAUUUUAAUUACUGUUAACUUGGAGUGUUAUUGCCAAGAAAUCAUGGCUCUUGUAAGACUUUUAAACAAUCACUGUUUAGAAAGGGAAACACCUUUAGUUGUUAUUUGUAUAUUUUUUGUUUGUUUUAUUGUUUAUAUUCAAAAGGAACUAGUACACCUUUUUUUCAACAGGCUUUUUAAAAGGUUUAGCCUUAAGAAAUUCAUUAUUUCUUUUUUAUAACUCAAUUUUGAUCAUUGUCAUUUAUAGAGCAUACAUGUAAGUUGUUCAAGAAUGCAUGUUUCUUUGAAGACAUUACAGGGGGAAACUACAUUGAUAUCAUUUUUUUAAUUCUUUUGAUCUUAGUUGUAAUUGAGAACUGUUAUUACCAUCACCAUGUGUAAACUGAAUAAGUGUUAUAUGGUGUAACAUGCCAGUAAAUGGUUCAUGGCCUUCUAGUUUUAUAGAGCUCUGUGUGAAGUAAUUACAAUGGAGGAACCUUUAUAGAUUUGAUAGUCAUAUUCUAUUGUAAUGACUUGUUUAUUUGAUUAAGAUGCCAGAAAGAUAAAUGGUAGAUUUUUCCGCACCCAUUUUGGCCCCCCCAAAAAAGGUUAAAAACUGUCCAGUAUUAAUUGUGAACUCAAUUAUUAAUAUUUCAAAGUGUUUCCUAUAAACUGUAAGAAUGCUUAAUGUUGAUAUCCCUCUCAAGAGGUCAUGUCAAGUCUUUUAGAUUAAAAUGGGAGAACACCCGAUUGCAUUUUAUGUGUAGCAUAAAUAUAAUUCAAUGGCACAU